rnacentral:lncRNA from 1 species
CGCCACUUCCUUCGCCGCGGUGGAGCGGAACUCUCGAGAGGGGGUCGGAGGGCUAGUUGAACCGCAUCUAUAGGUGGUCAACAGUCACAAUUAUAGGUGGUCUAAGAGCAACUUCAAUAGUUCUCUAAAUAACUCUCUAAAUCUUAAAUUUAAGAAGUGAACAGAAAAAUACUUCUCCAAUGGUUCUCUAAAUAGACUUGCUAAAUUUAGUUAGUUGCUAUUCAACUCUAUUUACUCUCCACAUUUAGCAACUCGGUAGGAACUCCCUAAAUACAGUUGACGUCAAUUUCUUCACACUAGCGUGAUUAUUUUUACCUUUCCUAUACAGUGAGAUAGCCAGUUAUAACACACUCUUUUUUAUUUUCUAGCAUAAUGAGGUAGCUAGGUCAAACACGUAUGACGCAAGUUUCUCCUUCACCGUCGAACCUAACUUUCUCAUAAGUUGCGUCACCGGACCACCACUCAUCCAUAAUUCAUAUCGACCGACCUUUUUUCUUCCGCCCUCAUAUCCUCUGCUCUCAACCUUAUUAUCAGGCAGAUCUCAUAGGGACAGGGCCGCUAAAGCUAGAUUCAAAAUCGAACUACUUCCUAAAUAUGAGCAACUAUUGGAAACUAAGUUAUUUUUUACUUCCAAUAGCUAUUUAGCAACUUGCUAAACAUGAUUUUAGCAAGCUAUUUUUUAGAGAACUACUGGAGUUGCUCUAACAGUCACAAUUGUAGAGACGUGGAAAACCCAAAAAGCAGAGUAAACUAGCCGGUUAGUGGACAAGCAAAUGGACGUAGACCAAACAAGAAGAAAAUUCGCUUAUGCCUUUCAAGCACUCCACUACAUACUAGU